UUGAUUCAGGCAAAAGAAAAUAAGAGUUGCUCAUAAAAGUGGUGUACUGCAUGUCAUGAAAAAAGGAAGCAGCUGUAAACUGUUUACCAGAGUAAUUGUUUGAGCUGGUGGAGCUGGAAUUUCCUCCCAUAUUUUCCUCAGACUCUAACCGACCCUGUAUUUUGUCUAGAUCGGAAGAGAGU